rnacentral:rRNA from 5 species
UAGCGCCUCGUGAAUUCAUCUCCGGGGGUAGAGCACUGUUUCGGCUAGGGGGCCAUCCCGGCUUACCAACCCGAUGCAAACUGCGAAUACCGGAGAAUGUUAUCACGGGAGACACACGGCGGGUGCUAACGUCCGUCGUGAAGAGGGAAACAACCCAGACCGCCAGCUAAGGUCCCAAAGUCAUGGUUAAGUGGGAAACGAUGUGGGAAGGCCCAGACAGCCAGGAUGUUGGCUUAGAAGCAGCCAUCAUUUAAAGAAAGCGUAAUAGCUCACUGGUCGAGUCGGCCUGCGCGGAAGAUGUAACGGGGCUAAACCAU